rnacentral:sRNA from 1 species
GGGUCUGAGGUGAUCUGGCUGGCUUGGCAAGGGUCCCCUUCCUACCUCCUGCAAGUUCCUCCUGAAACUACACAAUCCAAGGAGACAGCCUUCCCCCCUAGAAGAGGACCAUGCUUCUGUCAAGGGUGUAAAAGUACCUGUGCUCCCCAGCAGGACCUUCAAGCUAGUUCUCAAGACAAAGCUUUAAGCCACACUGCCAUCCUUGGGUGU